GGAUCAUUUGAUGAGAAAAAAACUGCAACAAUAUGAUGGAUUUGUUCCAUGAUUCCUAGUAUUUAAUUAAGUCUCUGAUGAUC
rnacentral:snoRNA from 14 species